rnacentral:rRNA from 1 species
AUACGUAGGGAGCGAGCGUUGUCCGGAUUUAUUGGGCGUAAAGGGCUUGUAGGCGGUUUGUUGCGUCUGCCGUGAAAUUCCCUGGCUUAACUGGGGGCGUGCGGUGGGUACGGGCAGGCUUGAGUGCGGUAGGGGAGACUGGAAUUCCUGGUGUAGCGGUGGAAUGCGCAGAUAUCAGGAGGAACACCGGUGGCGAAGGCGGGUCUCUGGGCCGUUACUGACGCUGAGGAGCGAAAGCGUGGGGAGCGAACAGGAUUAGAUACCCUGGUAGUCCAUGCUGUAAACGUUGGGCACUAGGUGUGGGGGCCUCCCUUGGUUUCUGCGCCGUAGCUAACGCUUUAAGUGCCCCGCCUGGGGAGUACGGCCGCAAGGCUAAA